AGAUGAGAAAGCUCAGACUCAGGGCCAGCAACCCCGGUCCCAGCGGAGCGCCCGGCACGCGCCGACACUUCAGCACCAGUCGCGGUGGCCACCACUGUGCGCGGAGAUGGCUGCGACGCGUGCGCAGGUGACUGACAGAUGCAAAAUGGAUUGUCUGUGGAGGAACUCUGAGAUACUUUCAAGGAAUAUAAGUUCACAAUAAAAAAUCACAAAUGUAAAAUUGGCAAGAGCCACCAGAAACAAUGGACAGAAGGAGCAGGCCUGCAAAAACUUAAGACAGUCAAGUCAGCAAAGACAGUACAAAGUGUGUUUUAUACUUAAAGAAACAAAGGAGUUGAAAUAACUUGAGCAUGAAAAUAACCAAAUACAUUGGGGAAAGUACCAAGUGGAAACGAAAUGAAAAGUAUCAUAAUUGAAAUGGAAAGUUCAAUGGAUUGGUUUAACUAACGGUCAUCAAAAAGAGAAUAAUAGAUGAAGAAAUAAAGAAGUUUUCAGACUCGAAAAAGCUGAAUGACUUUACUACCUGCAGAACUGCACUAUAAGAAAAGUUAAGGGAUGU